rnacentral:siRNA from 1 species
GGAACUUGUGAAAUGCCAUUUAAA